rnacentral:rRNA from 1 species
GCACAAGCGGUGGAGCAUGUGGUUUAAUUCGAUGCAACGCGAAGAACCUUACCUGGGCUUGACAUCCCGAGAAUCCCCUGGAAACAGGGGAGUGCCUUUCGGGGAACUCGGAGACAGGUGCUGCAUGGCUGUCGUCAGCUCGUGUCGUGAGAUGUUGGGUUAAGUCCCGCAACGAGCGCAACCCUUGUCUUUAAUUGCCAGCAUUCAGUUGGGCACUUUAAAGAGACUGCCGGUGUUAAGCCGGAGGAAGGUGGGGAUGACGUCAAGUCCUCAUGGCCUUUAUGACCUGGGCUACACACGUGCUACAAUGGGCGGUACAAAGGGUCGCGAACCCGCGAGGGGGAGCCAAUCCCAAAAAGCCGCUCUCAGUUCGGAUUGCAGGCUGCAACUCGCCUGCAUGAAGCCGGAAUCGCUAGUAAUCGCGGAUCAGCAUGCCGCGGUCGAAUACGUUCCCGGGCCUU